AGAGAAUAGAUACCCUGGUAGUCCCAGCCGUAAACGAUGCUCGCUAGGUGUCAGGCAUGGCGCGACCGUGUCUGGUGCCGCAGGGAAGCCGUGAAGCGAGCCACCUGGGAAGUACGGCCGCAAGGCUGAAACUUAAAGGAAUUGGCGGGGGAGCACAACAACGGGUGGAGCCUGCGGUUUAAUUGGACUCAACGCCGGACAACUCACCGGGGACGACAGCAAUAUGUAGGCCAGGCUGAAGACCUUGCCUGAAUCGCUGAGAGGAGGUGCAUGGCCGUCGCCAGUUCGUACUGUGAAGCAUCCUGUUAAGUCAGGCAACGAGCGAGACCCGUGCCCACUGUUACCAGCAUAUCCUCCGGGAUGAUGGGUACUCUGUGGGGACCGCCGGUGUUAAAUCGGAGGAAGGUGCGGGCCACGGUAGGUCAGUAUGCCCCGAAUUUCCCGGGCUACACGCGGGCUACAAUGAAUGGGACAAUGGGUCCCUACCCUGAAAAGGGCUGGUAAUCUCACAAACCCAUCCGUAGUUCGGAUCGAGGGCUGUAAC
rnacentral:rRNA from 1 species